rnacentral:tRNA from 1 species
GCCUCCGUGGCGCAAUCGGCUAGCGCGUUCGGCUGUUAACCGAAAGGUUGGUGGUCGAGCCACCGGGGGCG